GAUCAACGGCAAGAAUGAGGUUUUCUGUAUUCGUGUUGUGUAUACUUCCGAUCGUGCUCUCGGCGCCAGAGAAAAGAUUUCUUGAAUCAGUCUUCGGUGGAAAUGCGUUUGACUUGACUACAUUGAAAUGCGACAUACAGAUCAUGUUGGAUGUAAUAGGGAGCGAUCCGACAGAACUUGCAUGCGAAUCUUAGUGCCAUAACCUUCUGCAACAGGGACACGUUCUUAAUUAUGGUUGCCCACUUGUCUGUCAUGGAUUCCAAACGCUGGCACAUACGUUUCAUCUUGCGCCUCAAACUACUGAUCCGUCUGUUAAUCCCUGUAAAAACAUUGGACCAAAACAAUAAAUUGUACGUCGAAUAAAAAAUUUGCUAAGACAAG